CAGUGCCUUGGUAGCUGACAAGCCAGGGCGGUAGCGUG
rfam:Serratia sp. Leaf50 contig_8, whole genome shotgun sequence.